CCCGCCCACAGCCGGGCCGAGAUCCCCCAGCCCGCCUUCCCCUGAGCUCGCAAAGAGCCACGUCUAAGGCCCCGCCGGUGACAUGCGGAGCUGGAGAGCCCGGUGGUACCAGCCGAGCGGUCAGCGUCCAGGCACCACUUUCCUCAUCCACACCAGACCCGCCUUCUCGCGGAUUCAAUUCAGCUUCGGCCCUACUUCGCACCAGACCUGCCCCCCGCCCCAGCCUCCCAGAGAUUCUUUUCCUUUAGAGGUUAUUACAAGACAUUGGAAUAUAGUUCCCUGUGCUGUACAGUAGGACUGAAAACCUUUUUUUUCAGUUUCCAGUCAUCAGUAGCUCCUCUAGGGUGUGAAUAUUUUGAACAAGGAGUUUAGCAGAUGGUCCAUGAGUGUCUGCUUUGGGAGGAGGCCUCAACAAGCCACUAUGGAGGACAGUAUGGAGGUUCCUUAAAAAAACUAAACAUAGACUUACCAUGGGAUGCAGCAACCCCACUCCUCAGCAUAUACCCAGAGAAAAAUAAAAUUAAAAAAGACACCUA